rnacentral:rRNA from 1 species
AUUGAACGCUGGCGGCAUGCCUAACACAUGCAAGUCGAGCGGAGCGGCGGACGGGUGAGUAAUGCCUAGGAAUCUGCCUGGUCGUGGGGGAUAACGUCCGGAUACGGGCUCUAAUACCGCAUACUCUCUGCGUCGCCUAGGUCGGAUUGGCUAGUUGGUGGGGUAAAGGCCUACGAAGGCGACGAUCCGUAACUGGUCUGAGAGGAUGAUCAGUCACACUGGAACUGAGACACGGUCCAUACGCCUACGGGAGGCAGCCGUGGGGAAUAUUGGACAAUGGGCGAAAGACUGAUCCAGCCAUGCCGAGUGUGUGAAGAAGGUAUUCGGAUUGUAAAGCGCUUUAAGUUGGGAGGCGUUACCAACAGAAUAAGCACCGGCUAACUUCGUGCCAGCAGCCGCGGUAAUAC